rnacentral:rRNA from 1 species
GCGAACAGACGAGGAGCUUGCUCCUCUGACGUUAGCGGCGGACGGGUGAGUAACACGUGGGUAACCUACCUAUAAGACUGGGAUAACUCCGGGAAACCGGGGCUAAUACCGGAUAAUAUUUCGAACCGCAUGGUUCGAUAGUGAAAGAUGGUUUUGCUAUCACUUAUAGAUGGACCCGCGCCGUAUUAGCUAGUUGGUAAGGUAACGGCUUACCAAGGCGACGAUACGUAGCCGACCUGAGAGGGUGAUCGGCCACACUGGAACUGAGACACGGUCCAGACUCCUACGGGAGGCAGCAGUAGGGAAUCUUCCGCAAUGGGCGAAAGCCUGACGGAGCAACGCCGCGUGAGUGAUGAAGGUCUUCGGAUCGUAAAACUCUGUUAUUAGGGAAGAACAUACGUGUAAGUAACUAUGCACGUCUUGACGGUACCUAAUCAGAAAGCCACGGCUAACUACGUGCCAGCAGCCGCGGUAAUACGUAGGUGGCAAGCGUUAUCCGGAAUUAUUGGGCGUAAAGCGCGCGUAGGCGGUUUUUUAAGUCUGAUGUGAAAGCCCACGGCUCAACCGUGGAGGGUCAUUGGAAACUGGAAAACUUGAGUGCAGAAGAGGAAAGUGGAAUUCCAUGUGUAGCGGUGAAAUGCGCAGAGAUAUGGAGGAACACCAGUGGCGAAGGCGACUUUCUGGUCUGUAACUGACGCUGAUG